rnacentral:rRNA from 1 species
GGAAUCUUCGGCAAUGGACGAAAGUCUGACCGAGCAACGCCGCGUGAGUGAAGAAGGUUUUCGGAUCGUAAAACUCUGUUGGUAGAGAAGAACGUUGGUGAGAGUGGAAAGCUCAUCAAGUGACGGUAACUACCCAGAAAGGAACGGCUAAAUACGUGCCAG